GUUAUUUAUUAUUUGGAUGAUUUUCUUUUUAUUGGGAAAGCUGAAUCUUCAGAUUGCUUUCAUUUACUACAUAUUUUCAUGUCCAUUGCUCAAUAAUUUGGCAUUCCGUUGGCAAAAGAAAAGACGGUUUGGCCUGGUACAUGUUUAUAAUUUUUAGGUAUAAUUAUUGAUUCUGAGCGAAUGGAGUUUUGUUUGCCCGAAGAUAAAAUUGUCAGAAUGAAGCGCAAAAUUUCU